AGAUAUCAUUAUUGAAGACAUUGGGAAAAGAGAAGAUGAAGGAGGGAACAUGUACACAUGUACAUAGUCUCACUGAUUACUACCUACGGAAAGACUAACAUAUGAGUGAACUCAGAACGGCUAACAGAAGGUUAAUAUUAAUGGUGCUCCACUCCCUAUCCCACACAGAGAUCAACCCUUACCCCCUCCACCACCCCCAGUAUUUCUAUUUUACUCCAUUUCUAUUAUACUCCAUCAUGACUCUAAGCUGUCAAGCUUACUGGGAAAAAAAGAGUACUACCUUUGCACUAUACAAUCUGUUUAGAGAGCCUUUACCAAGAAAGUGGCAUGCAUAUUAGGUGAUGAGCUGAUGACAUUGCUUCAUUAGUAUCUAAUCUUGGUAGCUCCUAGAAUGCAG